GAAUCCUUAGCUCAGCUGGUUUAGAGCGCCACCCUGACACGGUGGAGGUCGGCAGUUCGAAUCUGCCAGGGUUCA
rnacentral:tRNA from 1 species